rnacentral:rRNA from 1 species
AGAGUUUGAUCCUGGCUCAGGAUGAACGCUAGCUACAGGCUUAACACAUGCAAGUCGAGGGGAAACGAUAGAGAAAGCUUGCUUUUUCUAGGCGUCGACCGGCGCACGGGUGAGUAACGCGUAUCCAACCUGCCCACCACUUGGGGAUAACCUUGCGAAAGUAAGACUAAUACCCAAUGACGUCCCUAGAAGACAUCUGAAAGAGAUUAAAGAUUUAUCGGUGAUGGAUGGGGAUGCGUCUGAUUAGCUUGUUGGCGGGGUAACGGCCCACCAAGGCGACGAUCAGUAGGGGUUCUGAGAGGAAGGUCCCCCACAUUGGAACUGAGACACGGUCCAAACUCCUACGGGAGGCAGCAGUGAGGAAUAUUGGUCAAUGGACGAGAGUCUGAACCAGCCAAGUAGCGUGCAGGAUGACGGCCCUAUGGGUUGUAAACUGCUUUUAUAAGGGAAUAAAGUGGGAGUCGUGACUCCUUUUGCAUGUACCUUAUGAAUAAGGACCGGCUAAUUCCGUGCCAGCAGCCGCGGUAAUACGGAAGGUCCGGGCGUUAUCCGGAUUUAUUGGGUUUAAAGGGAGCGUAGGCCGGAGAUUAAGCGUGUUGUGAAAUGUAGACGCUCAACGUCUGCACUGCAGCGCGAACUGGUUUCCUUGAGUACGCACAAAGUGGGCGGAAUUCGUGGUGUAGCGGUGAAAUGCUUAGAUAUCACGAAGAACUCCGAUUGCGAAGGCAGCUCACUGGAGCGCAACUGACGCUGAAGCUCGAAAGUGCGGGUAUCGAACAGGAUUAGAUACCCUGGUAGUCCGCACGGUAAACGAUGGAU